rnacentral:lncRNA from 1 species
GACACCAUAAAGUUAGCUAUUAAGAGUGUUCUUUUAAUCUUUACAACUGUUCUUUUAUGGCAUAAAAGUGUUUUAUUCUACUAUGAUAAAAGAGUGUUGACAACCAUAAAGCUAUUAAAAAUAUUCUAUUCACCUUUACAACUGUUCUAUUAAGCCUUAAGAGUGUUCUAUUCUACUAUGACAAAGGAUUGUUGACAAUCAUAAAGCUAGCUAUUAACAGUGUUCUAUUUAACCUUUACAACUGUUCUAUUAUGGCAUAAAACUAUUAUAAAGCCUAAAACUGAUAGCACACUUUCAUUAAGUUUUAAGAAUGUUUUAUUAAGUCAUAAGAGGGUAAGAUUGGAAUGCAUACAUGUUCGCAACUGCAAAUCUGAUAAAAGUAUUCUAUUAUGCUCUAAGAGUGUUCUAUUUUACUAUGACAAAAGCGGGUAAGAUUGAAGCCUUAAAACCAUGAUAUAGCAACAUAAUUGGAAGUACAGAAGAUCUCCCAGAUAUCUCAAUUAAUCAGUAAUGUUGAUCUCCAAAGUAUAGAUUUUUGAACUCCCAUACAUCUCAAUUAAUCAGUCAAUUGAUCUCCGAAAUAUAGAAACAUGAAAAACUCAAAAAUGCACGUGUGCGUGAAUUCAAUUCAAAGAGAAACAAUCCACAAUGCUCAUAUUCUUUCUUCUUCUUCUUUUUUUCUUUGCUAAGUUUUGUAGAUCCCCAACUGUCAUUCCAAAUGUAUACCACAUAAAUUAAAAACUACCGAUAAAUAUAAGAAAUUUAAGAACGAUAUCUACAAAUCAAGGUUUAAGUAUUCUAUUAUACUCUAAGAGUGUUCUAUUCUACCCAUACACCCUAUAUUGAGUUGUUCUAUUAUCCUUUACAAUUAUUCUAUUAUGC